UUCUUCGUUGGUUCCCUCGCAACUUCUCUCUCUCCCCUUUGUUUUUUUCCCACUAGUUUUUCUCUCUCAGAGUCUCAGUGAUUCUUUAUUAAUCUCUCCUUGGUUCUCUCCCAGUGACUUUUUAUUAAUCUCUCGUUCUCCUUUCUUUUUUGGUUUUCACACCAAUUCUCUCUCAAUCUUCAAGAGUUCCUCUUGUCACCAGUUCCUUUCUAGUAUCUAUACAAGUGCGCGUUUGGAUCUUGGGAGAGGAGGCCACGCCACCGCUGCCAGCAGGCCGAUCGUCUUCGCCGUGUCGCCGCCUCAUCCCUGGUACGGAGUAGUUGAGGAUAUGAAGUUAGGGUGAAGAACUACCCUCAGGAUUCGUCAACGAAGAACUAAAUGACUCUUUUGAAGGUUAAAAAAAAUAAUAAAAAACCUGUUUUAGACUUUCAGUGACCUUAAAAAUAUCUAUCCAAGUCUUCGUCUACGUGACUGUUAAUUGUAGGAACCACUUGAUCUAAGGCAAAAGGGUUCUAAUCAUUUCUUUCAAGUUCGUUUAUCUGUGACCGCUACUGCAUAGUGGAAUUUACGUAAGCAGCUUUUGUUUGGAAGACAGCCAGUCUCGCCCUAUCAAACAUGGAAACAAAGCCUGUUCUAGAAGUUCUUAAUGGCGAAGACAACUAUUUGAAAUGGAGUGUUCGGGUGAAGACAUAUUUGAUGGCUCAAGAUCUUUGGGACAUUGUAGAAGCAACGAACGAACCUCCUACCCAAGAAAAUGCAGCUGCUUUUAAGGCUUGGAGCAAGAUGGAUGCCAUGGCUUUAUAUGGGAUCCAAAAUUCAUGCGGGCCGGACACAUUUUCUGAUAUUAUGGAGAUUACUUCGGCCAGAAAUGCUUGGGAAACGUUGGCAAAAAAGUACAAACCUAAAGGUCCUGACCCAAGUAGCAGUAUGGCUUCAGUUCCUUUAGAAGAAGACAAGCUUGACUCAAGUACUAAGUCAGGUACGAUCCAGAUUUCAUCUGAAAUUAGGGAGAUUAUUUCGGACCCUUUAGAAGAAGACAAGCUUGACUUUGGAAGUCCAGGUAUCUCUCUCUUACAGUCUCUUUUAUUUUCUGUGCGUAAAAUAGGCUGAA